rnacentral:rRNA from 1 species
GUCGUGGAUGAGUGGCGAACGGGUGAGUAACACGUGAGUAACCUGCCCCUGACUUCGGGAUAAGCCUGGGAAACCGGGUCUAAUACCGGAUACGACCUCCUGCCGCAUGGUGGGUGGUGGAAAGUUUUUUCGGUUGGGGAUGGGCUCGCGGCCUAUCAGUUAGUUGGUGAGGUAAUGGCUCACCAAGACGACGACGGGUAGCCGGCCUGAGAGGGCGACCGGCCACACUGGGACUGAGACACGGCCCAGACUCCUACGGGAGGCAGCAGUGGGGAAUAUUGCACAAUGGGGGAAACCCUGAUGCAGCGACGCAGCGUGCGGGAUGACGGCCUUCGGGUUGUAAACCGCUUUCAGCAGGGAAGAAGCGCAAGUGACGGUACCUGCAGAAGAAGUACCGGCUAACUACGUGCCAGCAGCCGCGGUAAUACGUAGGGUACGAGCGUUGUCCGGAAUUAUUGGGCGUAAAGAGCUCGUAGGUGGUUGGUCACGUCUGCUGUGGAAACGCAACGCUUAACGUUGCGCGGGCAGUGGGUACGGGCUGACUAGAGUGCAGUAGGGGAGUCUGGAAUUCCUGGUGUAGCGGUGAAAUGCGCAGAUAUCAGGAGGAACACCGGUGGCGAAGGCGGGACUCUGGGCUGUAACUGACACUGAGGAGCGAAAGCAUGGGGAGCGAACAGGAUUAGAUACCCUGGUAGUCCAUGCCGUAAACGUUGGGCACUAGGUGUGGGGGACAUUCCACGUUCUCCGCGCCGUAGCUAACGCAUUAAGUGCCCCGCCUGGGGAGUACGGCCGCAAGGCUAAACUCAAAGGAAUUGACGG